rnacentral:rRNA from 1 species
UACGUAGGGUGCGAGCGUUGUCCGGAAUUAUUGGGCGUAAAGGGCUCGUAGGCGGUCUGUCGCGUCGGGAGUGAAAACUCAGGGCUUAACCCUGAGCCUGCUUCCGAUACGGGCAGACUAGAGGUAUGCAGGGGAGAAUGGAAUUCCUGGUGUAGCGGUGAAAUGCGCAGAUAUCAGGAGGAACACCGGUGGCGAAGGCGGCCACCUGGCUCGGUACUGACGCUGAGGCGCGACAGCGUGGGGAGCAAACAGG